rnacentral:lncRNA from 1 species
UACUUUUCUUCUGUUUCAUAGGAAAAGGUGGAUUUUUCCAGUCUUAUUUUUUCCUACAUAUUGGGAGGGUAGAGAUCAGCAUCUUCGCUUUCCUUUUGCCUGACAUUUGGAUCAGAUGCUAGUUCCUGGAUCCUCACUGCAUUCUGCGUUUUGGUAUUCCUUCCUUGCCGAUGGUUCUGCCUUGCAGAGUUGAUGACACGCUGAAAGGUAUUGGCCUUGAAGAGAGAAAAAUGAUCCUGAAGUAUUAAACAAUUUCAGAACUGCUCAAAAUAAUUUACCUUUUGGCUUUUUAUCUGUUGAAACAGAAUAUGGCAUGCCGAAAAGUAAG